rnacentral:rRNA from 1 species
UACGUAGGGUCCGAGCGUUGUCCGGAAUUAUUGGGCGUAAAGAGCUCGUAGGCGGUUCGUCGCGUCGGCUGUGAAAACCCGGAGCUCAACUCCGGGCCUGCAGUCGAUACGGGCGGACUGGAGUGUUGCAGGGGAGACUGGAAUUCCUGGUGUAGCGGUGAAAUGCGCAGAUAUCAGGAGGAACACCGGUGGCGAAGGCGGGUCUCUGGGCAACUACUGACGCUGAGGAGCGAAAGCGUGGGGAGCGAACAGG